rnacentral:rRNA from 1 species
UACGUAGGGUGCGAGCGUUGUCCGGAAUUACUGGGCGUAAAGAGCUCGUAGGUGGUUUGUCGCGUUGUCCGUGAAAACUCACAGCUCAACUGUGGGCGUGCGGGCGAUACGGGCAGACUGGAGUACUGCAGGGGAGACUGGAAUUCCUGGUGUAGCGGUGGAAUGCGCAGAUAUCAGGAGGAACACCGGUGGCGAAGGCGGGUCUCUGGGCAGUAACUGACGCUGAGGAGCGAAAGCGUGGGGAGCGAACAGGA